GGAAUCUUGCGCAAUGGGCGAAAGCCUGACGCAGCCAUGCCGCGUGAAUGAUGAAGGUCUUAGGAUUGUAAAAUUCUUUCAGUAGGGACGAUAAUGACGGUACCUACAGAAGAAGCCCCGGCUAACUUCGUGCCAGCAGCCGCGGUAAUACGAAGGGGGCUAGCGUUGCUCGGAAUUACUGGGCGUAAAGGGAGCGUAGGCGGACAUUUAAGUCAGGGGUGAAAUCCCAGAGCUCAACUCUGGAACUGCCUUUGAUACUGGGUGUCUUGAGUGUGAUAGAGGUAUGUGGAACUCCGAGUGUAGAGGUGAAAUUCGUAGAUAUUCGGAAGAACACCAGUGGCGAAGGCGACAUACUGGAUCAUUACUGACGCUGAGGCUCGAAAGCGUGGGGAGCAAACAGGAUUAGAUACCCGAG
rnacentral:rRNA from 1 species